GUCUGGCAUCGCGGCGCCUCCCUUGCUGCCCCGGGCCUGCUCUGGAGAUGCCAGUGCUGUCCCAGCCCCGCAGCGCGGCCUCAGCCUCCGGCCCGGCGCAUCGGCCGCACCACCUGCGCCCUGGACCCCGCCGCCCCAACCUGGCCCCAGAUGCUGAAGCCCGCAGCCGUCGGGAGCAUGGACCGGCCCCGAGGUGCGCGGGACGCAGGGGGCGCGCGCAGUCCGCCCUUCCUACCCGCAACCUCCCUCGCCUCUGCCAGCCCCGCAGGCGCUCCGGGCCUCCAGCUGCGGUCGCCGCUGCUCCAGCUGCGCGUGGCUUCCGGGAACCUCCUCCUCCGCGCCCGUCGUUGCAAAAUUGGAGAGAGGAAAAAGUGGCUUAAAAAAAUAGUUGCGGCCCCUUUAAGGCCUGUCGGCUUCCUUUCCCUUUUCCUCCCUCCGCCCCUCUCCCUUGGCUCGUACCAAAGCGCAGAGGAGGAGAGGGAGGAAGGAACCAUUAACGUCAAGCAAAGUUAGAAACGGAAAAGGAAAGGGGGGAUGGCGUCCACUCCGAUGGGGAAUGAGGGGGAGAAGAAGAGCAGCUGGCCAUCUCAAGCUGCACCCUCCUUGAGAGGAGGUCCGGCUUCGUUAUCUCGUUCUGAGGAAUACCUGUCCCAGAUCAGUGCAGAACUCAUGGAGGAGGCUUUGUGCACUGCUUGCUGCCACUUGAACCCUGUGCCCAUCAAAAAAAAGCAGUCACAAGACCAAGCGACUCAGAUAUCCAAACGCGCAUUCUUCACCAAGACCUGAGGCACAGACACCUGGUGAGUGAGGCUUCAAGGGAGAUGCUCUUUGUCCUGGGAGAGAGAAACCGUACCUGCAGCAAGGCAUACCUCCUGCCAACUCCUGGUGAAAAGAACAUGCCUCAAAACUACUCUUUUGCCACUCGUUAACCACUUCCGUUUGUGGGGACCUCCUGGUCAUGAGCAGCAUCAUCCCGAAGCCUUCAAAGUGUUCUGGAUUCAUCACAGGACCCUCCAGCCUCAGCCAGCAAGGAUACCACCAGGAAUGAAAGUGCUUUAAUAAAGAGACAGGGUGUGCA
rnacentral:lncRNA from 1 species